rnacentral:rRNA from 1 species
UACGAAGUGUGCAAACGUUAUUCGGAUUCACUGGGCUUAAAGGGUGCGUAGGCGGCUUGCCAAGUAGGGUGUGAAAGCCCCCGGCUUAACCGGGGAAUUGCGCCCUAAACUGGCGAGCUGGAGUGAGAUAGGGGUGUGUGGAACUUCCGGUGGAGCGGUGAAAUGUGUUGAUAUCGGAAGGAACGCCGGUGGCGAAAGCGACACACUGGGUCUCAACUGACGCUGAGGCACGAAAGCCAGGGGAGCGAACGGG